UUUCUCUAUAUUUCUUUCCCGAGAGAUUCAAUAUUUCAUCCCUUAGCGCGAUUUUUUUGUAUUAGCGAUUUUUACGUUCAAACUUUCCACGGAAAAUUCACCCUUUUCCACGCGCCCUUUAUACCGCGUCCGUGUGUACUUAUCGUGUACUAUACGAAAUUUUCAAAAUUUUCAAUGUUAGUGUCUGGAAUCUUUACCGCGAUCCAUAUUUCGCAUUGUGCCGAGAGUCAAACAAUCAUUCCACUCGAAUGACAAGUUCUCGUCUUCCAGGUCUCACCGCGUGGAGGUGUCUACGUUCGAGACCCAGGCAGUGGAUAAUACUCACUGCCCCCUUCCCUAUUAAAUUGCUACUCUAUUAUACGGAGCGAAUAUUAGAGAAGGAUUUUAUACGAUUGCAAACAAGACUAACUAUUGAUUAACUAUUGACUCUAAUUUGGAACUAAGAUAAGCACAAAAUGCCAGACUUCACUUGGACAGCCAGAGUUCGAGCCGAGUAGGACAUCAUCGUGUUUGAUUUGUGUACAAGUUUCCAUGUGUCCUGGGCUUAAUUACAUAAGAAGCUAACGAGAAAUAGGAAUCAAAUGAUAGUGUCUGAAUCUAUCGAGAUGAAUAGGAAAUCAGGUGUUAAUUAAAGACUGAUAGUUGCAAAUAUAUUUCUAAGUCUAGCUUUAUGAAUGUAUGUAGUCAAAGUGAUGAUUUGUAAAUUGACUCUCCUUCUGUAUUUCUAAUUAAAAUCUUUCUGCGUCAAUGCAAGGAAUAUAUCGACGUUUGAUCAAGCGGCAAGCUUCAAUUAUUACUUUCGUUUUUCAAUAAUUAGUUGAUGAGCGAUCCAGGUCUCUAAGAAAGAAAUGAAAUGGGUGUUAUCUCAUCCGUUUCCUUUUAAUUAACCAUUCCUUUGAUAUGGACAGUUAGUCGAAUUAUUCUUGGGUAUCUUUCUACUCUGUUUCGCAGUGAUAAAAUCGUAUAAUUAUUUCUGACUUGACGUUCAUAUAAAUAUAAAAAACUUUCAGUUGAUUGUAAUAGCUUUUAUAUCUCAUCUCGCAGAUUCUGUGUUUCAAUACGUAGAUUUCAUUUUUAUUGUAUGUCAUUUUAAAAAUGGUCAGUACUUCGACAUUUAGAUAAAUGUACAUAUUUGUAU